UAUUAUGGGAUUAUGAGUCGUGCACUUUUGGAUUUUUCAAACUUUUUUUAAUUUUCUAAAGUUUUGAUAAUUCGGAAUGCUGUCGAUUUGACUGGUUGACCGCAACCCGAAAAUUUCAGUACAAUAACACAGUUCAUCAUAUAUAUACACUUGACAAAGGCGCGCUUCCUCGUUUCCACUUCUUAUUUACCUGUAUGUACAUGAGUGUUUAUUUUUAAAUAGUGUAAGUUUUAAUAAAGCAUUUAGUCUAGUAAAUCAAUCAAUUUUUUUUACUUACUUAACAAUUUAAAAAAAUUAAUCAUUAAUUAAAAAUUAUCCACCCAAGUUCUGUGGAAGUAUUUUAUUUUUUUAUUUUUAUUUAUUCGGCUUAAUUUGAGGUUAUAUUUACAAUAACCGUCGAACAAGUAAUUUUUCAAAUUUACUGAAUAGUAAAAAAAUGACAUCAACGAUCGAAGGAAUUCGUGAAUCCAAGUGUGAUGAACUUGGAAAAAAUAAUUCUAAAAUAUGUUGUCAAUUUUGUCCAUCAAUUAUUUUAAAUCCAAGAGCGGGUACACUCGUUUCACGUGAGUUUCCGUUGCCACUGAUUGUAAAAAAAAAGAAUGAUGGCCAAUCUAAAAGUGAAACAUCAGAUCCGUCAUCUGUUGAAGUGGAAGAUUUGAAAGACUAUUGGCAAGUUGAUGACAUGUUUCAUUUCGAAAACAUAAGCGUCACACACACUGUUGAUCAAAUAAAAUAUUUAGGAUGUGCUGACUGUGAAGUAGGUCCGGUUGGAUUCCAUGAUCUUACCACUAAAAUUAAUUACAUUGCUCUAUCACGAGUAAUGUACAAAGAUUCUAAUUAAUAUUUUUCAUCGUCCACAAUUACUGCACAAUUUAAAAACUUAAAUUGAGAAUCAGAACAAGCCAAGUUGUUUCCAGUGUCGCCCAAAUAUCUUCAAAAAUCCAUUCAUUUUUAAAAUUGCAUCGGACUUCAAAAGAUUAUUAUGAUUCAUUCCACUUUUAAUCAUAAACAUUUAUUAUCUUCAUUUUAUAAUUUCACAUAAAAAAACAUUUUGGAUGCAGGGGAAGAAAUAUCAAUUUGGAAAACUGGAAA